GUGAACCAAAGAGAUUUAAGAUUCUAUCCUUGAGAUGGAGUUUGGGCCUGGAGGAAGCUGACUUUUGGGGUGGUAAUCAUGGUUCCCUAGUGCACAAUACACUUUAGUAUCUGAAAAAAAAGCACACAAUAAAAAAGCUUUAUUUGUUGA